CUUGGCGCACUAAUAUUUACGGAGAGAUACAAAAAGUGCUUCAAUUCACCAAUGCAGAUUACACCCCACAAGCCAAAUUUCCACCUCUAAUAAAUACCACAAAGUGUUGGAACUUAUGUCCAAAAUACCUACUUUGGCAGACUGUAUUGUUCUGUUUCAGAAAGAAAGAUGUUUAUGAGGUUCAUAAUAAGGGUUUGUAAGGUUUCAUAACAAAGAUCGACCUCAAUGGCAUCUCAAGAACUCCCCCCAUACGAUCACAACUCAAACACAUUUGUUAGUUAUCUACCUCAACGUCUUUCAAAGUUAUACAACUAUACAAGGAGUCUCGGAGUCUAUGUUGAUUCUGGUGAUGUAAAGUGAUGAUGGUAAGAAUAAAAUUGUGGAUUCCGCAGUUAUCUUCAUAGGUAUGAUUUGCAGCAGGUUUCAAGAUGGAUUAUAUAUACAUGUUCUUCUGUUCGCUUUGCUGUUGUUGAUUGUGUUCAAUCGAGAUGAUUUCAAUGGAUGAACAGGUAUAGUUGUUUAACUAUUGUUAAGUUUGUGCUAAAUCAUGUGUAAUCAAUCUUCUAUGUCUUUCA